rnacentral:rRNA from 1 species
CCUACGGGAGGCAGCAGUGGGGAAUUUUGGACAAUGGGCGAAAGCCUGAUCCAGCAAUGCCGCGUGUGGGAAGAAGGCCUUCGGGUUGUAAACCACUUUUGUACGGAACGAAACGGCUCGCUUUAAUACAGUGGGCUAAUGACGGUACCGUAAGAAUAAGCACCGGCUAACUACGUGCCAGCAGCCGCGGUAAUACGUAGGGUGCGAGCGUUAAUCGGAAUUACUGGGCGUAAAGCGUGCGCAGGCGGUUAUAUAAGACAGUUGUGAAAUCCCCGGGCUCAACCUGGGAAUUGCAUCUGUGACUGUAUAGCUAGAGUACGGUAGAGGGGGAUGGAAUUCCGCGUGUAGCAGUGAAAUGCGUAGAUAUGCGGAGGAACACCGAUGGCGAAGGCAAUCCCCUGGACCUGUACUGACGCUCAUGCACGAAAGCGUGGGGAGCAAACAGGAUUAGAUACCCUGGUAGUCCACGCCCUAAACGAUGUCAACUGGUUGUUGGGUGCAUUAGUACUCAGUAACGAAGCUAACGCGUGAAGUUGACCGCCUGGGGAGUACGGCCGCAAGGUUGAAACGUCAAAUGAAUUGACGGCUGGAGACGUGACGACGACGACGACGAGGGAGGAGG